rnacentral:rRNA from 1 species
UACGUAGGUGGCGAGCGUUGUCCGGAUUUACUGGGCGUAAAGGGCUUGUAGGCGGUCCGUUAAGUCCGAUGUGAAAUCUCCCGGCUCAACUGGGAGAGGGCAUUGGAUACUGGCGGACUAGAGGGGGGUAGAGGAAAGCAGAAUUCCUGGUGUAGCGGUGAAAUGCGUAGAUAUCAGGAGGAAUACCAGUGGCGAAGGCGGGUCUCUGGACAGUUCCUGACGCUGAGGCACGAAGGUCAGGGGAGCAAACGGG